GAAAAGAUAAAAAAAACGACGACGCAUAAAAGCGUCGUUAUAAAACCGUUCGCCCAACCCCCUCUCCUCCAUCGAGAGCCGACUUCCCACCCACCUCCAUCGAGAGCCGACUUCCCACCUCCGUCGAGAGCCGGUGCUUCCCCGAUGCCCGCUGCCGUCUUCCUCCUUCCGUUCGCCCAGCCCCCUCUAAAAUUUGGUCGAUGCCCUACUUGUGCGCGCGCCGACUUCCCACCUCCAUCGCGAGCCGGUGCUUCCCCGCUGCCGUCUUCCUCCUUCUCCUCUGAGAUCAAAUGAUUGCGACCAAGAGAUCGUUGCAAUGGAUGCUGGGAAGGGCGAUUGGGGCGAGGAGCAUGUGCGCCCUUCCCCACAAAUCCGCCCCCUCCUCUUCCGAGGAACUGAUGAGAAUGGAACACCAGUAUAGCGCUCAUAAGUAAGCUAUGUUGUUGUACCCCACACCACUCCCCUUCUUAGAUCUCAAAUUCUUGCGGCCUUGAUCUAAUGCUUUCCUCACUUAGAUCCUCUGUUAUUUAUGUAGAUUUAUUAUAUUUGGUUUUGUUGGAUGUCGAUGCUACCAGGUCUCUGACUCGGUCGAUCUUGGUUUUGUUGGGAAGGAAGAAAUGUUUGUCAAUGUUUCUGUGUUUUGUUUAUGGGUUUAUCUAUGGUUUUGACAAGUCUGGUUGGUGCAUGAUGAUAUGCUGAUUGAAAUUGGAGGGUUGCCAUGGCUUUUAAGAGUUAGUGAUGCUGAUUUUCAGCUGAUGCUAAUUUUUGAUACGAUGAGAGUUGGUGCUAUUCUUUCUUUGUUGUUUGGCUUUUUGCUCAGUAAACUUGGAAUUUUUGGGCUUGGUUUGAUCUGCUGCUGUAGUUUGUGGUAGUCGUAUAAACCGGUGAUGAAUCAAGGCUUUGCUCUUGUAUACAGCAGUACUAAUGUUGGAGCUUCUAAUACACUUGAUACCUGUUUAGAAGCAACAAAAUACUUAGUUGGCUUUUUUCUGAUCAACUUCAUGCUCUGAUAUGUUGGCUGUCUCUAUAGUGGUCGUCUUCUGCUUGUGCGCUUUUAAUAGUCCACGCUGCAUUGCAAGUUCUAACUUUGUCUCAUGAAAAACCAUGAAAUUAGGUUUACAUAUAAGGACAUUGAAACAUGUGUAACUAUAUAUUGAAGAGAUUGUAGGAGUCUGUUGAUGAUAGUGCUGAUUCUGCUGAAGAACAUUUCCACAUUUGAUACGCUUGUGAGGAGACAGAGACUUGGAUGGAUGUUGAAGGGUUAGGGUAGUGGAUUCAUGGACUUUAUAUAACGUACAUGGAAGUUGUGGAAAGGAAUAGAGAUGGACUUUAUAUAACGUACAUGGAUGUUGUGCACGCUAGAUGACUUCUUUCCUUGUUUCUUUCACUCUUUAAACAUUAAGGGUUCUGCUUCACUACAACUGCACUUGCUCUCAGUUCAGGCUAGUUAGCUUUCAAGGCAUUUUGUAUUUUGAGCUACAAGUUUAUCAUGGUUCCAAUUGAAGGCUUAAUUUUAAAGGGUAGCCAUUGGUUGGUCCUUAAAUCAUGUGUCUUCUUUAAAGUGCGCAACACAAGUUUGUUUCAUGUUUGACUGUUUAUAUAUAUGAGCUCAGGGGAGAUCAUGCACCUGGAUAUCUGAUAUCUGGUCAUUACGCUAUUGAUUAACUUCAAAUCAAUUUUUCCUGCAGGUACUAGGGCCUAACAUCUUUUGUUGGUUAUGCCCUGUAUCAAAGUUCAAAGGCUCUGGUCUCCGAUUUCCCACUGCAUUUGACCUUCCAAUAUCUACAACACUAACUUGACGUAUCAGGUGGCAAAGAUAAGAGUAAUUUGUCUAUAGAAGAUGGAAACCAUGUAAAUUUUUGUGGUUGAGCCUCGCUUGGGAGUGGCACUUACAAUCGUGAAGUGCUUGCCCUACGUUUUUGGUCUGACACGAGGGCUUCAAGUUACUUCUGUGGGCUGCUUAUAAACUACAGGAAGGGUAAGCAGAUGGAGUGCCCUUUGCAGGGGGGGUAUCCUAGGGUCUGUAAGUCCCACCAUAAUAGUCCGGUGAAAUCUAUUGGGAAGUUAUGUGCCUGCCUUCAGGUGAUUUAUUUUGAUAUGGAACCUCAUAAGCCUUUGACAUGUGCUCGAUGUUUCCUGUGUUCCACCUGGUGUAGGUUCUGAGAGGCCUUUGCUUCCUUUUGACAAGGUAGAGGAGCAGGAAGACAGGAAGAAGGAUGAGGCUAAGCCUGUCUCCUAUCCAUAUUCCUUCUUCCACCUCAUUUUCUCCCUUGCCAGCAUGUAUGCCAAAUGUUGGAAUCAGACCGAAGUUGGAAUAUCAAUUCCAUUCUAGCCUUUAUUAUUCCAAACAAACAUUGCAUUAGGCUUACAAAAUAUCUAUUACAGAUCUUGUGCUACUUGGUGGAUAAGUAUUUUAUAAACUCAAAAUGAGCAUAAGGUGCUCUUGUAGGUGCUCUUGUAUGCAUUUUGAAUUCCGUCAUAUUAACUUUGGCAUCUGUAUCCAACACUUUGUUGUGGAAAAGAAAUAGAUAAGCUAAACAAUUGUUAUUUUUUUUUCCAGAUCCAAAUACACAUAUAUUAUGGAUAGAGAAUGCAAAUGCAAAAUUGAAGGCUAUCCAUGACAUCGAAGCAGGUGAGGAACUGCGGAUCUGCUAUAUUGAUGUUAGCAUGGGUUAUGAGGCUCGGCAGAAAAUUCUUGCUGAAGGUUUUGGUUUCAAGUGUAGCUGUCUUCGGUGCUUAUCUGGCGAAUAACAAGCAUUUUUCUUAUAUUUUAAUAGGGAUGAUCUUACACUCCAAGAGGAUUAAAAGUACUGAAGGCGGCUAACAGCAAAGCCCAGGACUCCUGAAGUUGUUUCAACCAUCAUGCAGGGAUCACUGGAUCAAACAGAGCAUGCAUUUUCUUUAUCUCCAAUAGCUCUUUUUUGUUAAUGCUUCUCGGAAGCCUUGGACUCUUAACCAGCCCAGUUUUCAUGCUCACGUGUUUCUAAGGGUGGUACAGUGCAAGUUAGGUUUCAGCCUUACAUUGGACAGUAUUUAGCAGCAGCAGCGGAAAAUGUGGUGACUAUUUUUGAUGUUGAGACUGACAGAAAGAUAUACACAGCAGAAAAUGAUGGGGGCUUCUACUCGGCCAUCAUUAAAGUUAAUUGUUUAAUGUGCAAUAGAAUUAUUGAAGCCUUCUGUUUGUUAUAAUUAUUAUAUUGCUAUAUUGUAUUUGAAGAAUAGUUGGAAGAAGGAACAAAAAUUGUACCUUAUGCAUCAUGCAGGUUAUAUACUAGUAUUAACUUUAAAAUAUAGCCCCCAUAUCGUAGAUUGUGUACUUAGGAAUUUGAGAUGUAUAUUUUUAGAAUGUUUUUGAAGUACAAUGUAAUCAAAUAUUAUAAUAUGAAUGUAAUCAAAGUUCUUGUUUGUGA